CUAAUAGUCAAUUUCUUCAGACCCUUGAGUUUUGGAAGGUCCACCUGUUUGAUUGAACAGCAGAGUGUGAUAUCCAAGCUUUCCAAAUAUAUCAAUUUGUCAAGAACUCGAAUUUCAAGUAAAUUCCCGCAAACAAAGACCACUAAUGUCCUUAGAUGGACAAACUGUGAAACGUCCAACAUUUCGAUAGAUCGACACCAAGAGACUUGCAAGUAUUCCAACUUGAAGGGCGUGUUUAGGGAUUGUGGUGAUUCCAUUUCUUCAAUGUCCGUCGAUUGGGAGCAUUCUGAACUAUUUAAUUGCGUUGAUGGAAGCUCCUGGAUGCACUGGAGAAACUUGUAAUGGAAUACUCGUAGUUCCUUGAGAUGGGCUAGGUGGGAAAGCAAAGGCAAUUUGCGACUUCGACAGGUGACGGCC
rnacentral:lncRNA from 1 species